ensembl:lncRNA SMPD4BP sphingomyelin phosphodiesterase 4B, pseudogene
AGCUUGAUGACGACGUUUUGGCGCGGUGGCGGAAUGGCGGCUUCCACCUCUGAAGCGGGCGACGCUAUGGGUCCCACAGUGGUUUGCUAAGAAGGCCAUUUUCAACUCUCCAUUGGAGGCUGCUAUGGCGUUCCCUCACCUGCAGCAGCCCAGCUUUCUACUGGCCAGCCUGAAAGCUGACUCUAUAAAUAAGCCCUUUGCACAGCAGUGCCAAGACUUGAUUAAAGUAAUUGAGGAUUUUCCAGCAAAGGAGCUGCACACCAUCUUCCCAUGGCUGGUAGAGAGCAUUUUCGGCAGCCUAGACGGUGUCCUCGUUGGCUGGAACCUCCGCUGCUUACAGGGGCGUGUGAAUCCUGUGGAGUACAGCAUCGUGAUGGAAUUUCUCGACACUGGUGGCCCAAUGAUGAAGUUGGUUUAUAAGCUUCAAGCUGAAGACUAUAAGUUCGACUUUCCUGUCUCCUACCUGCCUGUAAGUAAACCACAGUGGCGAGAGUGGUGCUCGGGGCAGUGGGCCUUGCACAGCCCUGUGGUGAUGGGCAAUCUCCUCCAGUCCUCUGAGGGCAAAUUGAGGAGCGAUUCGUUCCAGGGGUGUGAGAGGCAAAGGAAAUGGGUAUUGCAUGACUGCUACCCUUGCUGUCUGCAGCUUUUUAUGAGAUGGUAGGAGAAGUUCUAAGCAAAGACUCUUGUUCAGGCACUGCUCAGAGGCAGGGCACUGUCCCCACAGGUGGGUUCUGUGUGUGGGUCUCUUCCCCAGCAGCCUUCCCAAAGUGCUGCUGUGCAUGUGGGGUACUGCGUAUCGGGCACUACGCACCAGCACCUGCCCGCAAGCCUCACUGCCUCUCUCUGCAGGGUCCUGUGAAGGCGUCCAUCCAGGAGUGCAUCCUCCCUGACAGUCCUCUGUACCACAACAAGGUCCAGUUCACCCCUACUGGGGGCCUUGGUCUGAACCUGGCCCUGAGUAUCCUUUGGUGGCCCUGAGGUAGGGAGGCUGUGGGUGGCCCAGCACUUGACACUUGCGGGGGGUGUGGCUCAUCAACCCUGCGUGUUUGCCCCUGACGCUGCUCUCAGAUCCAUUCGAGUAUUACAUAUUCUUCUUUGCCUUGAGCCUCAUCACUCAGAAGGUAAGGAAGGGAUGCCUUUUGCUGGGAGAGGUGGGGCCACGGCCCAGGGCUUCCCUGCACUUGUUGGUGCUUGGUGGCCUGGCAGUGUCCAGAGCCCACGCUAACAACUAGCUUGGUUUUCCAGCCACUCCCUGUGUCCCUCCACGUCCGUACUUCAGACUGUGCCUAUUUCAUCCUGGUGGACAGGUACCUGUCAUGGUUCCUGCCCACCGAAGGCAGUGUGCCCUGCCACUCUCCUCCAGCCCAGGGGGGACCAGCCCCUCACCGCCUCCCAGGUAAGGCUGCCCUUUGUUAAGACCUGGCCCUUCCAUAAGGGAGUGGCCUGGUCACUUGCAUCGCCCACGGGGACAAUGUUGCCACCCUUUGUCCACGGUUCCCCAAUUUUUCUUAUGCCUCAUUCCCCACCCCCAGCUGUCUUAGCACAGACUGGAGGGUGGGGUGUGGCGGGCAAUCUGUCCUUAGUGUUCAGUGUCUUUGGCCAUCACUGAAGCUAUCAGGUCCCUGGAGGCCUCCACGGCCUGCAUGGGAAUGGGCUGUGUUGUGCAUGGAGCAGCCCUCCCCACAGGCAGUGUCUGAGGCAGUGAGCAGGGUGGAAAGGUUGUCCUAUGAGCAAAAAAAA